GGGGCUCCGAUAACCACGGCCUUUGUUUAAGGUCCUUAGGCUGGACCAAUUUCUCUUUUGUUCCGGUGAUAUAUCUUAUCCUCCUCUGUGGUCGAAAUUCUUCAGCCACCACCACUUGAGUUAAAGUAUUUCCGGAAGGAAUUUCGUAGAUUACUACUGCAGGAACCUUUUUACUAUAGAAAGUCGGAUGAACAACUAUUAUAUAAGGUCUGAGUCAUCCCAGCCCCGAAAUUCCAAUUGCCACCUGAUGAUGGGUUCAGUUGGAGGAAGUAGAUCAGAAGGAAAUUCUUGGAGCCAAGUAUCCAAGGAACUAUAGGCGCACUCAUUGAAAUGUCCAAGGUUGCUUGGCUAGAAAGCGCGUGCAAAGAUCCGAUGACGACUCCCGUAAAUUCGUGGAGUUGACGAUGCGAUGAGUAGAUACAAAGAUUGGAAGAGGGAGCACAGGGAUAUCGAAGGGCGCCACCGCAUCAUAUGGUAAUCAGAAUUUUGCAAUAUAAACUAGAGAGAGAGAGAGAGAGCCCACAGGUUCAGCCGCCAUUCAGUCAAAACCCACAGGCUGCGUUUGGUAGUUAGGAUAAAAUUUAGGAUAGGAUAUGAUUUAUCUUAUCCUAUGUUUGGUGCUCGCUCAGGACAGGAUAAAGUCGGAUAUAAAGGGGAUAUAGACAGGAUAAAAUUAUCCCAUGGGGGAGGUGGGAUAAAAGUGGAUAGGAUUUCUAAUGUCCAUACUAGGAAAGUUAUUUCUCUCGAAUA